GACGAACGCUGGCGGCGUGCUUAACACAUGCAAGUCGAACGGUAAGGCCCUUCGGGGUACACGAGUGGCGAACGGGUGAGUAACACGUGGGUGAUCUGCCCUGCACUUCGGGAUAAGCCUGGGAAACUGGGUCUAAUACCGGAUAGGACUACUGCCUGCAUGGGUGGUGGUGGAAAGCUUUUGCGGUGUGGGAUGGGCCCGCGGCCUAUCAGCUUGUUGGUGGGGUGAUGGCCUACCAAGGCGACGACGGGUAGCCGGCCUGAGAGGGUGACCGGCCACACUGGGACUGGGCUGCGGCCCAGACUCCUACGGGAGGCAGCAGUGGGGAAUAUUGCACAAUGGGCGCAAGCCUGAUGCAGCGACGCCGCGUGAGGGAUGACGGCCUUCGGGUUGUAAACCUCUUUCAGCACCGACGAAGCGCAAGUGACGGUAGGUGCAGAAGAAGGACCGGCCAACUACGUGCCAGCCGCCGCCGUAA
rnacentral:rRNA from 1 species